GAAGUGCAAAGUCAAACUCCCUGGUUCAGCCAGGGCCCUCCCCCUGGCGCAGUAACGCCUAAGUCUUCUAGAGCACUUUCUAGCCCUGGAGCUGUUAUACCCCUUCACAAAGGGGAGUAAGCAUCAUUGGCCCCAUUUUACAGCUGAGGAAACUGAGGCACGAAAAAGUGAAAUGACUUUCCUGAACUUGUGUGUCCGGUCAGUGGUGGAGCCAGGAUUAGCACAGGAGUCUCCUGGUACUAGUCCAGUGCUCUUUGAAGUAGGUCACAGGGAACAGGCUGAAGUGCUAGUGUGAUAUCUACUGUUCAUGCCCAGGCUGCUGUGGGGUGGAGGAGGACAGCUUUGUGCUGCCUGUGAACUCUUUAGGGAGCCCCUGACAAAUCUGGAUACCUUCCCCUUUACCACCAUCCUUUGAAACCCAUCCUAACUGUGGCACCUUUCCCAUUCCCACUCCUCUGGCUCACAGAAAUAGAGCUGGCAGGAGGAACCCACUGAUUUUUGGCUGGGGGAAAAGUUUUUUGAUAUAACUUCCUUUACAUCAAAAUGAUACAUUCGGUCAAAGCAGGAAGCAUCAGUAGAAUUACUUAAUGGCUGGUCCAUACACACAGACAGUGGCAGGACACCUAAUAGGCAUGGCCGUACAGGUGGUGGUAAGGACAAGGGAUGGAUUCUCGCAACUUACGAGCUCAGACAGGAAGAAGACACAAUUAACAGAAGGGAGUUCCUGAUUUAUGUAAACCAGCACUGCUGAUUUAUAAGCUGCAAGCGUUCAUGUUCUGUCAGGUACUGCCCCUAGCAAGCAGCUCUCAGCAGCCAGGAGGGUCCACUGCCAAUCACCAACUGCCUUGGAACCUUCUGGCUGCACUAUUCCAUCCCUUCCUGGUUAAAUAGAUCCCUGAUGGCUAGAGAAAGAGAAGUGACUUACGUUGUAGCAUCUAGAGUUCUCUAAGAUGUGCGGUCGCUGUCUGUGUUCCGCUGGUGGAUGUGCAUGUGCUUUAGGCACCUGAGACUGGAAGAUUCUUACUAGCAGUGUCUAUUAGCCUGCACCUACACCCUUCUCAUGUUGCACACCAAGAGUAUAAGGGGCAGCAUGGACAGAUCGCUUCUCCAAUUCCUUCACCACCACGGAUCAAGGCAGAGGGGAAGGAGGACAGGUAGCAGAAUACAGAUAGGGACUACACACCUCAAACUACUUCAGUUACUAUAAGAUCCCCAGUGAUGCCAGAAGAUUCAGCAGAAAUUAAGUUGAUGUCAGAACUUUCGACCAGAACUUGCAUAUCAAGAAUCAAUUUUCUAGAUUUUUGUUAAUUAGAUCACACCAGAUUUCCACUCAAACUGCAACAGUAUAAUCAUGAUGCAAAUUUCAUCAGACGUGGGACAGCUGAACAUAAAUUCAAGACUACAGUCCUCCUGAGAGUUCUCUUGAGCGUUAUUGGAAAGGCUUAUCUGUUCUGGGCUUCCCUAAAAGAGGUGCCACAUGAAUGAAUUAUUGAAGCACAGAUUGUAACCUGGAGAGGAUCCAAGGUUGAUGGUACCACUUUACCAACCAGAUAGCACUGAUGCAAGUGAGAAAAUAACACCAAUUGCUAGAGCCAGAUGUGAUGUGAAGAGACAACAUAUAGCUUCCCUUCAAAGCUCAGCCAAUCCACAGCAUUACUGAGUCAUCUAGUCCUGGGAACUUCCUGAACAGAGACUGCCAAACAGUGGUGAUUCAGCAACCUAGGGUUUGUUUGAAGAGCACAGCCAUUGCCUUAUCUAAUCGGUGAUCAGUUUUAAUGAACAGAAAGGACCUUGCCCUUCCAAUUCCUCAGCUGAACCACAAUUAUGUAUGUGUUAUUUUUGUUUGAGAGGGUUUUGUAUGUUUAUCUUUUAUUCAUUCGUGAGCCUUCAUUAUUGUAAAAGGCUAUACAGAUACGUGUUGCACAUCAUGCAGUGAAAACAGUCAGCCCAAUUUAAACUGAUCUCCAGUUGAAGGCCCAUCAGGUAGAAUGAUUUGCCCACUCUAUUGUAUUGUCUUUCUUGUAAUGUUAUGGCCCAACCUGCAGGGUCCUGAGUGUCCUCAACUCCCACUGAAGUCAGUGGGAAAUGAGGCUGCUUAGCCUCUCAUAGAACCAACCCUAGAAUAUUUUAAUCUACUUAUGGGUUUUUUUUAAUAUUCAUUAUGUUCUUGCUGUCAUUUGUAUAUAUGUCAGAAUGAUUAACAGAUCAUUUGAAGUAACAGUGCUUGUACCUCUGUUACUAGUUAUAAAAGCUACAUCAAUGUAUUUUAAAUACUGUAAGUACAAUAUGAAAUGGCUGUAAGUACA